rnacentral:rRNA from 1 species
GACGAACGCUGGCGGCGUGCUUAACACAUGCAAGUCGAACGGAAAGGCCCUGCUUUUGUGGGGUGCUCGAGUGGCGAACGGGUGAGUAACACGUGAGUAACCUGCCCUUGACUUUGGGAUAACUUCAGGAAACUGGGGCUAAUACCGGAUAGGAGCUCCUGCUGCAUGGUGGUGGUUGGAAAGUUUCGGCGGUUGGGGAUGGACUCGCGGCUUAUCAGCUUGUUGGUGGGGUAGUGGCUUACCAAGGCUUUGACGGGUAGCCGGCCUGAGAGGGUGAACGGCCACAUUGGGACUGAGAUACGGCCCAGACUCCUACGGGAGGCAGCAGUGGGGAAUAUUGCACAAUGGGCGGAAGCCUGAUGCAGCAACGCCGCGUGCGGGAUGACGGCCUUCGGGUUGUAAACCGCUUUCGCCUGUGACGAAGCGUGAGUGACGGUAAUGGGUAAAGAAGCACCGGCUAACUACGUG